rnacentral:tRNA from 1 species
GGAGCUGUAGCUCAGAAAAAGAGCACCUGCUUGGCAUGCAGAAGACCCCAGGUUCAAUCCCUAGCAUCUCCA